GUGCUCUGAAUGUCAAAGUGAAGAAAUUCAAGUAAGCGCGGGUCAACGGCGGGAGUAACUAUGACUCUCUUAAAGCUCAUUUCUUACCGACGAAUUGAAUAAGGCCCGGGGUAGAACUCUGGCUGGACUGAAUGAGUUGACAUCGCGUACAGAGAUCGAAACGUACUGGGCGAACAGGUUGUAUAUGUCUGUUGAUGGUCGCGGCUUACGUGAAGCGGGACUUUUUCGUCCCCAACACGGCUGGGUGUGUCAGCCCACGCGUUUGCUAACAGGUCAAGAUUACCGAAACAGUAUCAAGCUGCGAAUAAAUGCCCUACCAUCGAGGUCUCGUACCACGAGGGGCAGAAAUGAAUUGGAACGGCAAUGUCGUGCAGGUUGUGAUGCUCCCGAAACAACAAACCACAUCCUGCAAAAUUGUUACCGUACGCAUGGGAGGCGGGUAGCAAGACAUAACUGUGUAGUCAAUAACCUUAAGAGGAUUCUUGAGGAGAAGGGCCACACAGUACACGUCGAACCAAGUUUGCAGCUGGAAACCUCGGUAAGUAAACCAGACCUGGUGUGUAUCCGUGACAAUCACGCUUGCGUGAUUGAUGCGCAGAUUAUAACGGAUGGACUGUUUCUCGACGAUGUGCACCAUCGCAAAGUUGAGAAAUAUAAAAGACCGGAAGUUAUAUCUGCACUGCGGAGAGAAUUCGGAGUGUCGGGCAACGUCGAAGUCCUAUCCGCGACGUUAAACUGGCGUGGGAUCUGGAGCAAUCAAUCCGUUAGAAGAUUGAUAGCAAAGGGUCUCAUCUCAUCCGGUGACAGCAAUGUCAUUAGCGCCAGAGUGGUAACAGGCGGACUAUAUUGCUUCAGACAGUUCAUGUAUCUCGCAGGUUACACUCGAGAUUGGACUUAGCCUAUACACUAUGUUGGAGAGAAGACGCUUGCUACCUAGGCAAAAUGUGAAAUUAGGUAUAAACAUCGUGGUUGUAAAACUUGAGGUGGGUUUUUAGUACGUAUGCGUGAUUACUUCGUAAUCAUGAAUCGUGCAUGCUAGUGGGGUUUGGCCUCCACUAGUAUCUUUGAAGAUUUUCCUUCCUCAGCGAUCAAAAAAAAAAAAAAAAAAAAUAGCCAAAUGCCUCGUCAUCUAAUUAGUGACGCGCAUGAAUGGAUUAACGAGAUUCCUACUGUCCCUAUCUACUCAGU
rnacentral:ncRNA from 1 species